rnacentral:pre_miRNA from 1 species
CGCAGGUGCAUUGUAGUCGCAUUGUCUGUCCGUGUUGAUCUUAGGCAAUACAACUGCAGUGCAAGCUCUG